GGUACCCUUCCCAUAGAGAGCUUCAGAGCAUAGUGUGUGUGAUUUUACAGUAAUACAAAAGAAGCCUGUCAUUGCCCAUCAGUCCUUCUCCAGAGUGAUGCUAGUUGGCAUUUCUAUAGAGUAUUCUGGUUGAAGGGGUGGCCCAGUGGUAGAGAUUUAUAAGUUCAUUUUCAUGUUCAGUCUUUCCAGAACCUAAAAAAAAAAAAACCUAAAAAAGCCCAUGCAAUGUGGCACAUUUUACAAAGUCAAAAGGGCUUAGCUUUUUUUUUUACCAGCCAGUGUAUUUCAUACAUAGUCAUGCCUCACCAUGAUUGUAAAUUUCAACUUGGCUAUCUUAAUUCUAACUACUACAUACCUAUGAGGUUUUAAAGCCUGAUAGGUGGUUCUCACAUACUUUGACACCUUUGAAUAAAGGCCUGGGAUUAAGGUGAGCCAUAGUUUGGCCUGCACAGUCUGGUGCUUCAUUACCUCUAUAUCACAGAAUACAAGAAGUUGAGAAAGUGAAUGUUUGAGUCCAGGAUCUUGAGAGAAAGAUACUUGAAUCAUCCAGAAUUUAGGUUUUUCUCUCAUUUUAAUUGUUUAAGCUAUAAAAUUAAUUCAUUAAAAAGCAAUUGAAUCAGGUACAUCUUAGAAAUUUAGGUCAAAAUACU
rnacentral:lncRNA from 1 species